rnacentral:tRNA from 3 species
GACACUUUGGCCGAGUGGUUAAGGCGAUUGACUCGAAAUCAAUUGGGAUCUCCCGCGCAGGUUCAAAUCCUGCAGGUGUCG